AGCUCCAAUAGCGUAUAUUAAAGUUGCUGCAGUUAAAAAGCUCGUAGUUGCAUUUCCGAGGCAAGGGAUUAGUCCGACCUUUGGUGGGUAUUUAAUCCUCUUGCCUCGUCCUUGAGUGGUGCUUCUUGGUAUUAAGUUAUCGAGGAGAUAGCCGCUCAUCGUUUACUGUGAGAAAAUUAGAGUGUUCAAAGCAGGCUUAUGCCGUUGAAUAUAUUAGCAUGGAAUAAUAAGAUAGGACCUCGGUACUAUUUUGGUGGUUUGAGAACCAAGGUAAUGAUGAAUAGGGACAGUUGGGAGUAUUCGUAUUCAGUUGUCAGAGGUGAAAUUCUUAGAUUUACGGAAGACGAACUACUGCGAAAGCAUUUACCAAGGAUGUUUUCA
rnacentral:rRNA from 1 species